rnacentral:rRNA from 1 species
AUCAACUUUCGAUGGUAGGAUAGAGGCCUACCAUGGUGGUAACGGGUAACGGGGAAUUAGGGUUCGAUUCCGGAGAGGGAGCCUGAGAAACGGCUACCACUUCCAAGGAAGGCAGCAGGCGCGCAAAUUACCCACUCCCGACACGGGGAGGUAGUGACAAUAAAUAACAAUACGGGGCUCUUUAGGGUCUCGUAAUUGGAAUGAGUACAAUUUAAAUCCCUUAACGAGGAACAAUUGGAGGGCAAGUCUGGUGCCAGCAGCCGCGGUAAUUCCAGCUCCAAUAGCGUAUAUUAAAGUUGUUGCAGUUAAAAAGCUCGUAGUUGAAUUUCGGGAUUGACGUGACGGUCGUGCCUUACGGGUAUGAACUGUUGCUGUUGAUUUCUCACCUUCUGGAGAAACUUGAUGUCCUUAAUUGGGUGUCUUGCGGAUCCAGGACCUUUACCUUGAAAAAAUUAGAGUGUUUAAAGCAGGCAUUUUGCUCGAAUACAUUAGCAGGGAAUAAUAGAAUAGGACGGCAUGGUUCUAUUUUGUUGGUUUCUAGGAUCACCGUAAUGAUUAAUAGGGAUAGUUGGGGGCAUUAGUAUUCAAUUGUCAGAGGUGAAAUUCUUGGAUUUAUUGAAGACUAACUACUGCGAAAGCAUUUGCCAAGGAUGUUUUCAUUAAUCAAGAACGAAAGUUAGGGGAUCGAAGGCGAUCAGAUACCGUCGUAGUCUUAACCAUAAACUAUGCCGACUAGGGAUCGGACGAUUUAAUUUUUUAAUGACUCGUUCGGCGCCUUACGGGAAACCAAAGUGUUUGGGUCC